ACGGGAGCACACAACAGGUGGAGCCUGCGUUUAAUCGGACUCAACGCCGGGAAACUCACCAGAUAAGACAGCUGAAUGAUAGUCGGGCUGAAGACUCUACUUGACUAGCUGAGAGGAGGUGCAUGGCCGUCGUCAGUUCGUACUGUGAAGCAUCCCGUUAAGUCAGGCAACGAGCGAGACCCACGCCAACAGUUGCCAGCUCGUCCUCCGGGAUGGUGGGGACACUGUUGGGACCGCCUCUGCUAAAGAGGAGGAAGGAAUGGGCAACGGUAGGUCAGCAUGCCCCGAAUUAUCUGGGCUACACGCGGGCUACAAUGGGUGGGACAAUGGGUAUCGACACCGAAAGGUGAAGGCAAUCUCCUAAACCCAUCCGUAGUUCGGAUUGUGGGCUGCAACUCGCCCACAUGAAGCUGGAAUCUGUAGUAAUCGUGUCUCAAAAUGGCACGGUGAAUAUGUCCCUGCUCCUU
rnacentral:rRNA from 1 species